UCGGAUAUGGUGUAACGGCCAACAUUGCCGCCUCUCAUUCCUGUCGGAGAGUGUUGUCGCGGCAGCUCGGGGUUCGAUUCCCCGUAUCCGAA